CCUACGGGAGGCAGCAGUGGGGAAUAUUGGACAAUGGGCGAAAGCCUGAUCCAGCCAUGCCGCGUGUGUGAAGAAGGCCUUCGGGUUGUAAAGCACUUUCAGUGGGGAAGAAAGCCUUGGGGCUAAUACCCUCGAGGAAGGACAUCACCCACAGAAGAAGCACCGGCUAACUCCGUGCCAGCAGCCGCGGUAAUACGGAGGGUGCGAGCGUUAAUCGGAAUUACUGGGCGUAAAGCGCGCGUAGGCGGUCUGAUAAGCCGGUUGUGAAAGCCCCGGGCUCAACCUGGGAACGGCAUCCGGAACUGUCAGGCUAGAGUGCAGGAGAGGAAGGUAGAAUUCCCGGCGUAGCGGUGAAAUGCGUAGAGAUCGGGAGGAAUACCAGUGGCGAAGGCGGCCUUCUGGACUGACACUGACGCUGAGGUGCGAAAGCGUGGGUAGCAAACAGGAUUAGAUACCCCAGUAGUC
rnacentral:rRNA from 1 species